UGGCGGACGGGUGAGUAACGCGUGGGUAACCUACCCUAUAGAGGGGGAUAACGUUUGGAAACGAACGCUAAUACCGCAUAAACUAUGGAGCUUCGCAUGAGGCUUAUAGCAAAGAUUUAUCGCUAUAGGAUGGACCCGCGUUGGAUUAGCUAGUUGGUGAGACAACAGCCCACCAAGGCGACGAUCCAUAGCCGGCCUGAGAGGGUGAACGGCCACAUUGGGACUGAGACACGGCCCAAACUCCUACGGGAGGCAGCAGUGGGGAAUAUUGCACAAUGGGCGAAAGCCUGAUGCAGCAACGCCGCGUGAAGGAUGAAGGUCUUCGGAUUGUAAACUUCUAUCAACAGGGAAGAACAAAUGACGGUACCUGUAUAAGAAGCUCCGGCUAACUACGUGCCAGCAGCCGCGGUAAU
rnacentral:rRNA from 1 species